UCCUGCGCAACGUUAAUCGACGCAGGGUUAGUCGGUUCCUAAGGCGAGGCUGAAAAGCGUAGUCGAUGGGAAACAGGUUAAUAUUCCUGUACUUCUGGUUACUGCGAUGGAGGGACGGAGAAGGCUAGGCCAGCUUGGCGUUGGUUGUCCAAGUUUAAGGUGGUAGGCUGAAAUCUUAGGUAAAUCCGGGGUUUCAAGGCCGAGAGCUGAUGACGAGUCGUCUUUUAGAUGACGAAGUGGUUGAUGCCAUGCUUCCAAGAAAAGCUUCUAAGCUUCAGGUAACCAGGAACCGUACCCCAAACCGACACAGGUGGUCGGGUAGAGAAUACCAAGGCGCUUGAGAGAGCUCGGGUGAAGGAACUAGGCAAAAUGGCACCGUAACUUCGGGAGAAGGUGCGCCGGCUAGGGUGAAGGAUUUACUCCGUAAGCUCUGGCUGGUCGAAGAUACCAGGCCGCUGCGACUGUUUAUUAAAAACACAGCACUCUGCAAACACGAAAGUGGACGUAUAGGGUGUGACGCCUCCCCGGUGCCGGAAGGUUAAUUGAUGGGGUUAGCGCAAGCGAAGCUCUUGAUCGAAGCCCCGGUAAACGGCGGCCGUAACUAUAACGGUCCUAAGGUAGCGAAAUUCCUUGUCGGGUAAGUUCCGACCUGCACGAAUGGCGUAACGAUGGCGGCGCUGUCUCCACCCGAGACUCAGUGAAAUUGAAAUCGCUGUGAAGAUGCAGUGUAUCCGCGGCUAGACGGAAAGACCCCGUGAACCUUUACUGUAGCUUUGCACUGGACUUUGAGCCUGCUUGUGUAGGAUAGGUGGGAGGCUUUGAAGCGUGGACGCCAGUUCGCGUGGAGCCAUCCUUGAAAUACCACCCUGGCAUGCUUGAGGUUCUAACUCUGGUCCGUAAUCCGGAUCGAGGACAGUGUAUGGUGGGCAGUUUGACUGGGGCGGUCUCCUCCUAAAGAGUAACGGAGGAGUACGAAGGUGCGCUCAGACCGGUCGGAAAUCGGUCGCAGAGUAUAAAGGCAAAAGCGCGCUUGACUGCGAGACAGACACGUCGAGCAGGUACGAAAGUAGGUCUUAGUGAUCCGGUGGUUCUGUAUGGAAGGGCCAUCGCUCAACGGAUAAAAGGUACUCCGGGGAUAACAGGCUGAUACCGCCCAAGAGUUCAUAUCGACGGCGGUGUUUGGCACCUCGAUGUCGGCUCAUCACAUCCUGGGGCUGAAGCCGGUCCCAAGGGUAUGGCUGUUCGCCAUUUAAAGUGGUACGCGAGCUGGGUUCAGAACGUCGUGAGACAGUUCGGUCCCUAUCUGCCGUGGACGUUUGAGAUUUGAGAGGGGCUGCUCCUAGUACGAGAGGACCGGAGUGGACGAACCUCUGGUGUUCCGGUUGUCACGCCAGUGGCAUUGCCGGGUAGCUAUGUUCGGAAAAGAUAACCGCUGAAAGCAUCUAAGCGGGAAACUUGCCUCAAGAUGAGAUCUCACUGGGAACUUGAUUCCCCUGAAGGGCCGUCGAAGACUACGACGUUGAUAGGCUGGGUGUGUAAGCGUUGUGAGGCGUUGAGCUAACCAGUACUAAUUGCCC
rnacentral:rRNA from 1 species